CUUUGGUUUAUUCUCUAACAUGCCACUUUGAAAUAUAUGUGAGAUAUUCUAGAUUUGGUGAAGUAUGCAUGAAGGUUGUGAGUGAUCAAUAUAGAGUUGAUCACUCCUUGUAGAAGGAGAGAACAUCCUAUGUGAUCUCAUAGGAUGAUGACUCUGAGAGUCUCUGAUCAGAGCAGGGAUGAAUAGUAGAGAAGAUUUUUACUGAUUCAUUAAUCGAGUCAUUAUCA
rnacentral:lncRNA from 1 species